rnacentral:sRNA from 1 species
UUUUUUUGGAUAAGAACCUUUUAUAAAAUACUUAGAUCAUCUCCAUUGGUAAUCUCUCAAAAGAGUUUCUCACUACUAAUAUAAUAAAAAUAAUAAAAAGAGAAGAGAGAGAGAGUGUAGAAAGUUUCUCAAGUGAGAAACUAUGAGAUACUCUCUACAAGCCAUCAUUAUAUUUCUCUUAUCUCAAUUGGUUCAAUUUUUUCAUUAAAAUAAAAAUUUAAU